rnacentral:rRNA from 1 species
AGCUCCAAUAGCGUAUAUUAAAGUUGUUGCAGUUAAAACGCUCGUAGUCGGAUUUCGGGGCGGAUCCGCCGGUCUGCCGAUGGGUAUGCACUGGCGGGCACGUCCUUCCUUCCGGAGGCUGGCCCUACUCUUAACUGAGCGGGGUCGGAAGUCGGAUCGUUUACUUUGAAAAAAUCAGAGUGUUUCAAGCAGGCAUUUCGCUUUUGCAUGGAUUAGCAUGGGAUAAUGAAAUAGGACUUUGGUGCUAUUUUGUUGGUUUCGAACACCGAAGUAAUGAUUAACAGGGACAGUCAGGGGCACUCGUAUUCCGCCGAGAGAGGUGAAAUUCUCAGACCAGCGGAAGACGAACCACUGCGAAAGCAUUUGCCAGGGAUGUUUUCA